rnacentral:lncRNA from 1 species
UCCAGGAGCAAGCUUCUCACGAUGGAGAACCAAGUUGCUUCCUCAGAUGGCAGUGAUUUCCCUGGAGGUGGACAACCAGUUCUGCUAAUGAUAAAGCAGACUAGGGUGGCCAGGAUGGCUUGGCUAUGCAUGGUUCUCCUUUCUUGUUUCUUUUUUAAGGGGAAGGCUGUUAAGGAUUAAACCCAGAGCCCAAUGCGUCUUGAACACAUACUAUGCCUGAACUACGCAGCUUCACCAUGUAGUGCAGAACAACCUGCAUUUGUUACAAAACUCAGGCUUCCUCAAACUCAGGGUCCUUCUGCUUCAGCCUCUGCAGAGCUAGGAGUGUAUCACUCAGCUUGUGUGCUGGCAUACUUCUUAGCCUCUUUCUCUCUAGAAUCCUGAUGCAUAUGUCACAAGAUAGAACAGAAGAUCCUUGGUCCCCCAUCACUUAUCUUUCUGAUAACGGUGUUUUGAAUAAAUCCCUUUGCUGCACUUUAUAGUAAUCAUUCAUUUGGUUUCUGGGACAAGUGGCUAGAUUCAGUUGACUGGUCCCCUCAGGCCUAGAACUGCGGUAACAAUAACAUCCAUGAACCUAGGUUGGUUGGGCUGGAGCUAGAUGCCCUGUUGGCAGAUCUUAGGCUCUGACUGUACUGUUUCAGUGCAGAUAGGAUUCCUGUCCUCUACAUACCUGGAACAGUGCUGGAAGGGUAUAGUACCUAUAUGGCAUUUCCUGAGCCAAGUACCAAACAGAACUCAGAACACAUACACAGAAGGCAGAAUGUAACAGUGCUAGAUUCUGUAGAAAAGCAAAGGGCAUCACAAGUAAUUUAAUUUUUUGAGCAUUUAGAAUGUUGAGUCCUCAUAGUGCCAUUUUCUGCUGUGCUGAUGAGAUAACCAGAAUAGAUGCUUGUAUUCAGCCAAGCCAAGUCCCAGCUGUGUUUGUGUAACACUAAUGAGCAUGCCUGGCUUUUCUGUCACACAAGACAGAGCUGCACUUGCUAUAUACAUGCUUGAUGAGAAGGAAUGGUUGAAAAACUUCCUCAAAAGCCAAACCACAGGCUUUGUGCUUGUACAAUGUCUUUCAUCAGACUCUGGCUUGAACAGUUUCUUCCAUUAGAACCAAGAUAGCCCUUCUUAAAUGAAACGCCAGAGCUUGGGAGAAGACAAAUCAAAACGGCAUGAUACCAGUGCAAUUUCUGGGAGCAAUUCACUAAUCUCUCAGUCCUGUUGUUUACGUCCUAGGGUGAGUCACUGACUAGGGAAACUAGUCAGCCUUUCUUCAUCCCAAUCUUGUGCUGGCUCCUCUCAGAGGAGAGUACAUGGAUAUUAGAAUGCAAACUUGGGAGAAAACUGGGCUUAGGGGUCUCCCGGGAAAUGGUCAGUCUGCCUAUGGGGCAUCAGGCUCCAGUCUAAUACAGACCCACAGAAUAUGAACAAACAUAAAGGCUCUGAUCAGGUAAUGGACAUGAGUAGGGCUAGGGGGAGAUUUGUGGCUGUACAGUGCUGCUAUGAUUGGUGUCUUAGGGUUUUACUGUUGUGAACAGAUACCAUGACCAAGGCAACUCUUAUUAGCACAACAUUUAAUUGGGGCUGACUUACAGGUUCAGAGGUUCAGUCCAUUAUCAUCAAGAAGGGAGCAUACAUAACAGCAUCUAGGCAGGCAUGGUGCAGGAGGAGCUGAGACUUCUACAUCUUCAUCUGAAGGCUGCUAGCAGAAUGCUGGUUUCCAGGCAGCUGUGAUAAGGGGCUUAAAGCCUACACCCACAGUGAUACCCCUUCUCCAACAAGGCCAGAACUUCUAAUAGUGCCAGUCCCUGGGCCAGGCAUAUACAAACUAUGACAAUUGGAUAGUCUGUACUGGGUCCACCAGCACAGGAUCAAACAGUCAUUUGAGGGGGCAGUGAAGAUGAUUAUAGGAAAAGCAGAAAGAAGGUGCAAGAGACAGAUAAGGGAGGGCUGAAGGUCAAUACCAUGCCAGCAGUGAGUUUACUUUUCUUAGCCUUUUUAAACUACACAGUACCAUGAGAAGCAAAGCCAUAGCUAACAGAAACAAUUGCUGAAACACAUACAUAAGACAUCUAUCUAUCUGUUCCCAUCCAAAAGCCUAACUAUUCCUUCCACUAAGGUCAAUAGAAUCUUCAGCCCCUCUCCUUGAGCCUCAAGUGUACCUCCUCUUAUCGUUCCAAAAAUCUCACAACCGACUUCCUCCCACCUUGACUCUGCUUAACAGGCUGACCUCUCUCUCUCUCUCUCUCUCUCUCUCUCUCUCUCUCUCUCU